rnacentral:rRNA from 1 species
UUGAAGAGUUUGAUCAUGGCUCAGAUUGAACGCUGGCGGCAGGCCUAACACAUGCAAGUCGAACGGUAACAGGAAACAGCUUGCUGUUUCGCUGACGAGUGGCGGACGGGUGAGUAAUGUCUGGGAAACUGCCCGAUGGAGGGGGAUAACUACUGGAAACGGUAGCUAAUACCGCAUAACGUCGCAAGACCAAAGAGGGGGACCUUAGGGCCUCUUGCCAUCGGAUGUGCCCAGAUGGGAUUAGCUAGUAGGUGGGGUAAAGGCUCACCUAGGCGACGAUCCCUAGCUGGUCUGAGAGGAUGACCAGCCACACUGGAACUGAGACACGGUCCAGACUCCUACGGGAGGCAGCAGUGGGGGAAUAUUGCACAAUGGGCGCAAGCCUGAUGCAGCCAUGCCGCGUGUAUGAAGAAGGCCUUCGGGUUGUAAAGUACUUUCAGCGGGGAGGAAGGGAGUAAAGUUAAUACCUUUGCUCAUUGACGUUACCCGCAGAAGAAGCACCGGCUAACUCCGUGCCAGCAGCCGCGGUAAUACGGAGGGUGCAAGCGUUAAUCGGAAUUACUGGGCGUAAAGCGCACGCAGGCGGUUUGUUAAGUCAGAUGUGAAAUCCCCGGGCUCAACCUGGGAACUGCAUCUGAUACUGGCAAGCUUGAGUCUCGUAGAGGGGGGUAGAAUUCCAGGUGUAGCGGUGAAAUGCGUAGAGAUCUGGAGGAAUACCGGUGGCGAAGGCGGCCCCCUGGACGAAGACUGACGCUCAGGUGCGAAAGCGUGGGGAGCAAACAGGAUUAGAUACCCUGGUAGUCCACGCCGUAAACGAUGUCGACUUGGAGGUUGUGCCCUUGAGGCGUGGCUUCCGGAGCUAACGCGUUAAGUCGACCGCCUGGGGAGUACGGCCGCAAGGUUAAAACUCAAAUGAAUUGACGGGGGCCCGCACAAGCGGUGGAGCAUGUGGUUUAAUUCGAUGCAACGCGAAGAACCUUACCUGGUCUUGACAUCCACGGAAGUUUUCAGAGAUGAGAAUGUGCCUUCGGGAACCGUGAGACAGGUGCUGCAUGGCUGUCGUCAGCUCGUGUUGUGAAAUGUUGGGUUAAGUCCCGCAACGAGCGCAACCCUUAUCCUUUGUUGCCAGCGGUCCGGCCGGGAACUCAAAGGAGACUGCCAGUGAUAAACUGGAGGAAGGUGGGGAUGACGUCAAGUCAUCAUGGCCCUUACGACCGUGGGCUACACACGUGCUACAAUGGCGCAUACAAAGAGAAGCGACCUCGCGAGAGCAAGCGGACCUCAUAAAGUGCGUCGUAGUCCGGAUUGGAGUCUGCAACUCGACUCCAUGAAGUCGGAAUCGCUAGUAAUCGUGGAUCAGAAUGCCACGGUGAAUACGUUCCCGGGCCUUGUACACACCGCCCGUCACACCAUGGGAGUGGGUUGCAAAAGAAGUAGGUAGCUUAACCUUCGGGAGGGCGCUUACCACUUUGUGAUUCAUGACUGGGGUGAAGUCGUAACAAGGUAACCGUAGGGGAACCUGCGGUUGGAUCACCUCCUU